GUAUGGACGCUUGAAAUCUUACUUGUCAAAGUACACGUGCAAAAUAUAGCACGUGUUUCUAAGGUUAUGUGUUUUCAUUGGACCAUUGGGCCAUAUUUUCAUGCUAUUUCUUCUUUCGUCAUGGACUUUAGGUGUUGGACCGUGGGGAGAGAAUUGAACUUCUGGUUGACAAAACAGAGAACCUGCAAUUCCAGGCCGACAUUUUCCAAAGGCAAGGAAGGCAACUACGUAGGAAGAUGUGGUUUCAGAAUCUCCAAAUGAAGGUUAUGGUGGGCGGAGUAGUCGUCAUAGUAAUAUUCUUGCUGUGGCUCAUAGCAAAA